AGAGUUUGAUCCUGGCUCAGGAUGAACGCUGGCGGCGUGCCUAAUACAUGCAAGUCGAGCGAACGGACGAGAAGCUUGCUUCUCUGAUGUUAGCGGCGGACGGGUGAGUAACACGUGGAUAACCUACCUAUAAGACUGGGAUAACUUCGGGAAACCGGAGCUAAUACCGGAUAAUAUUUUGAACCGCAUGGUUCAAAAGUGAAAGACGGUCUUGCUGUCACUUAUAGAUGGAUCCGCGCUGCAUUAGCUAGUUGGUAAGGUAACGGCUUACCAAGGCAACGAUGCAUAGCCGACCUGAGAGGGUGAUCGGCCACACUGGAACUGAGACACGGUCCAGACUCCUACGGGAGGCAGCAGUAGGGAAUCUUCCGCAAUGGGCGAAAGCCUGACGGAGCAACGCCGCGUGAGUGAUGAAGGUCUUCGGAUCGUAAAACUCUGUUAUUAGGGAAGAACAUAUGUGUAAGUAACUGUGCACAUCUUGACGGUACCUAAUCAGAAAGCCACGGCUAACUACGUGCCAGCAGCCGCGGUAAUACGUAGGUGGCAAGCGUUAUCCGGAAUUAUUGGGCGUAAAGCGCGCGUAGGCGGUUUUUUAAGUCUGAUGUGAAAGCCCACGGCUCAACCGUGGAGGGUCAUUGGAAACUGGAAAACUUGAGUGCAGAAGAGGAAAGUGGAAUUCCAUGUGUAGCGGUGAAAUGCGCAGAGAUAUGGAGGAACACCAGUGGCGAAGGCGACUUUCUGGUCUGUAACUGACGCUGAUGUGCGAAAGCGUGGGGAUCAAACAGGAUUAGAUACCCUGGUAGUCCACGCCGUAAACGAUGAGUGCUAAGUGUUAGGGGGUUUCCGCCCCUUAGUGCUGCAGCUAACGCAUUAAGCACUCCGCCUGGGGAGUACGACCGCAAGGUUGAAACUCAAAGGAAUUGACGGGGACCCGCACAAGCGGUGGAGCAUGUGGUUUAAUUCGAAGCAACGCGAAGAACCUUACCAAAUCUUGACAUCCUUUGACAACUCUAGAGAUAGAGCCUUCCCCUUCGGGGGACAAAGUGACGGGUGGUGCAUGGUUGUCGUCAGCUCGUGUCGUGAGAUGUUGGGUUAAGUCCCGCAACGAGCGCAACCCUUAAGCUUAGUUGCCAUCAUUAAGUUGGGCACUCUAAGUUGACUGCCGGUGACAAACCGGAGGAAGGUGGGGAUGACGUCAAAUCAUCAUGCCCCUUAUGAUUUGGGCUACACACGUGCUACAAUGGACAAUACAAAGGGCAGCGAAACCGCGAGGUCAAGCAAAUCCCAUAAAGUUGUUCUCAGUUCGGAUUGUAGUCUGCAACUCGACUACAUGAAGCUGGAAUCGCUAGUAAUCGUAGAUCAGCAUGCUACGGUGAAUACGUUCCCGGGUCUUGUACACACCGCCCGUCACACCACGAGAGUUUGUAACACCCGAAGCCGGUGGAGUAACCUUUUAGGAGCUAGCCGUCGAAGGUGGGACAAAUGAUUGGGGUGAAGUCGUAACAAGGUAGCCGUAUCGGAAGGUGCGGCUGGAUCACCU
rnacentral:rRNA from 1 species